rnacentral:rRNA from 2 species
AAAAUUAGAGUGUUCAAAGCGGGCAGAUAUUUUUCCUGCCACCGAAUACAUUAGCAUGGGAUAAUGGAAUAGGACCCUGACCUCCUAUUUUCAGUUGGUUUUGUUUAUACAGCGAGGUUCAUCAGGGUAAUGAUUAAUAGGGAUAGUUGGGGGCAUUAAUAUUUAAUUGUCAGAGGUGAAAUUCUUGGAUUUAUGAAAGAUUAACUUCUGCGAAAGCGUUUGCCAAGGAUGUUUUCAUUAAUCAAGAACGAAAGUUAGGGGAUCGAAGACGAUCAGAUACCGUCGUAGUCUUAACCAUAAACGAUGCCGACCAGCGAUUAGGAGACGUUGAAUACAAAACACCGCCGUUAAUCCUUUCGGGGAUUAAUGGUUGGUGAA